AUGGAUUCAGAAUUUACUUGCUGGGUUGAGUGCCGAGGAUUUGAUGUUGUGAUGCACUAAGGCAAGGAUCCUUAUUUUUCAUUUGUCAGCCAUUCCUGUGCUAUUUCCAUAUUUUUGUUCUUGCAAUCUUCUCAUCUAGAUAAUUUUCUCAGAUCCCAUGAGUUUUGGAAAUUAGCAUCUUUCCAUAGCUUAGUACAGAAGCAUUUUUUAUGGCUGAAUAAAUCUUGGUACUUCUAGGUUUGCCAGGCGGUUUGAGGUGUCCUCUUUGAGGUCAAUGCCGGUAGUGCCGUUCGUGUUUAGGUGUGGGUUUGUGUCAAAUUUGGUCUUUCGAUUUGCUAUUGUCACUGUCUCUGUGUCACCUAGGCAGAGUUCGUCCUAUAGCCCCACUGAUUUUUCUUUUAGUUGGUCUUGCUGUCGUGUGGUCAUGUCGUUGUGUUUGGUUCAGCUCUAGGCUAGAUGGAGAGCAGUGCGGCUGGUCAUGUUUGGCACUGUCGGAAGCGCGCUGGUAUACAUGAUUGUGGCCAUAAGGCCUUUUAUGUUUCAUCCCUUUGUAUUCCUGUCAAUAAAAAAGGUGAAGCCACACCUUAAAUUGUCGUGGUUGUUUCAGGGAAGGAGAUUGAACCACACUUGAUUCAGUGAUCUCAGGCAUACAUAUAGCGUUACAGAGGGAGAGGCACGAGGCCACGAUGAUGAUCGUGGGCUGGCCAUGAUCGUGAAGGAGGACGUGUGUGCUCAGUGGGAAAACUGCACACACGCUCACUACACUACUCUACCUUAUACGUAC
rnacentral:lncRNA from 1 species